GGGCCGGUGGUCUAGCCCGGCUAUGACGUCUCCCUGACACGGAGAAGGUCCCCAGUUCGAAUCUGGGUCGGCCCA
rnacentral:tRNA from 1 species